GUACUCGCUUGGCAGCACAUAUACCAAAAAUUGGAACGAUAAGAGAAGAUUAGUCUCGGCCCUGCGCCAAGUAUGAUAUUGCAGCAUUCAUAAAGCAUUCCAUUUUUUU
rnacentral:snRNA from 1 species